GGUGGGUUGUGCCGAAUUGGUAAGGCGCCGCUCUCGAAAAGCGGUGGCAGAAAUGCCUUGCAGGUUCGAGUCCUGCACCCACCGCCU
rnacentral:tRNA from 2 species